AGAGUUUGAUCCUGGCUCAGGAUGAACGCUAGCGACAGGCCUAACACAUGCAAGUCGAGGGGCAGCAUUUCUAGCUUGCUAGAAGAUGGCGACCGGCGCACGGGUGAGUAACGCGUAUGCAACCUACCUUAUACUGGGGGAUAGCCCAGAGAAAUCUGGAUUAAUACCGCAUAACAUAUUUGAAUCGCAUGAUUUGAAUAUUAAAACUCCGGUGGUAUAAGAUGGGCAUGCGUAGCAUUAGUUUGUUGGUGAGGUAACGGCUCACCAAGACUAUGAUGCUUAGGGGGUCUGAGAGGAUAGUCCCCCACACUGGUACUGAGACACGGACCAGACUCCUACGGGAGGCAGCAGUGAGGAAUAUUGGUCAAUGGGCGAAAGCCUGAACCAGCCAUGUCGCGUGCAGGAUGACGGCCCUAUGGGUUGUAAACUGCUUUUUUACAGGAAUAAUUGUCGAUACGUGUAUCGAUUUGAAUGUACUGUAUGAAUAAGGAUCGGCUAACUCCGUGCCAGCAGCCGCGGUAAUACGGAGGAUUCGAGCGUUAUCCGGAUUUAUUGGGUUUAAAGGGUCCGUAGGCGGUUCUUUAAGUCAGUGGUGAAAUCCCAGAGCUCAACUCUGGAACUGCCAUUGAAACUGAAGAACUUGAAUAUGGUUGAGGUAGGCGGAAUACGUUAUGUAGCGGUGAAAUGCAUAGAUAUAACGUAGAACACCAAUUGCGAAGGCAGCUUACUAAACCAUUAUUGACGCUGAUGGACGAAAGCGUGGGGAGCGAACAGGAUUAGAUACCCUGGUAGUCCACGCCGUAAACGAUGAUUACUCGUUGUGCACAAUACAUCGUGCGUGACUGAGCGAAAGCAUUAAGUAAUCCACCUGGGGAGUACGUUCGCAAGAAUGAAACUCAAAGGAAUUGACGGGGGCCCGCACAAGCGGAGGAACAUGUGGUUUAAUUCGAUGAUACGCGAGGAACCUUACCUGGACUUAAAUGUAGAUUGACCCUCUUAGAAAUAGGAGUUCUCUUCGGAGCAAUUUACAAGGUGCUGCAUGGUUGUCGUCAGCUCGUGCCGUGAGGUGUCGGGUUAAGUCCCAUAACGAGCGCAACCCCUAUCGUUAGUUGCUAGCAGGUAAUGCUGAGGACUCUAGCGAGACUGCCACCGUAAGGUGAGAGGAAGGUGGGGAUGACGUCAAAUCAGCACGGCCCUUACGUCCAGGGCUACACACGUGUUACAAUGGCCAGUACAAAGGGCAGCUACCUGGUGACAGGAUGCUAAUCUCAAAAGCUGGUCUCAGUUCGGAUCGGAGUCAACUCGACUCCGUGAAGUUGGAUUCGCUAGUAAUCGUAUAUCAGCAAUGAUACGGUGAAUACGUUCCCGGGCCUUGUACACACCGCCCGUCAAGCCAUGGAAGCCGAGGGUGCCUGAAGUACGUUACCGCAAGGAGCGUCCUAGGGUAAAAUUGGUAACUGGGGCUAAGUCG
rnacentral:rRNA from 1 species